rnacentral:lncRNA from 1 species
AUAGAAAGGCAGAGACAUCUAGUGGUUCUUCAGAGACACAAUAAUCCUAAAUACGUUGCACACCUCAUUACUAUAGAAAACACAUAUUAAACAUGUAAUGAAUUUAAAUUAAGGGACCAUAUACAAAGUCUAUUGUUGGAAAUUAGUUUGAUUGUUGAUUUGGGAGGAAAUUUUCAAAACAUAAAUGUUCAGCUUUAUCAGAGAACAUACUUAUUUGUGUUUCUUAUCUUCAUCAGUUGCAUCUAAAUAACAAAUACACAAUUACACAUGAAUGAACACAUUAAUAAUAAUUAUUAUAAUAGUGACUAUAAUUACCUUGCCUACUGUUUAUUACAGCUGUAUAAACUAUCCACAAACGUAUAAGCCUAGUUAACAGUUUAUAAACUAUUUAUAUACCAUUUUACGGUAGCGUUACCUAGCCUACUGUCUCUAAAAUAAUACUAAAAUGUUUAUAAAGAUGUUAUAACGUUUAUAAAGCUUUAUAAAACAUAUCAUAUAAAAAAUGUAUGUAAUCUUCACCUUUUUAAACAAUAAAAUGUUUUGCCCUCACUGUCAUUAUAUAUGAUAAUAAAAAGUGCUGUUUUAUAAAUAAUACAUCCUGACAGUUUCCAUAUUUUUCAUUUGAAUGGAAAACGGCUCAUUGAAUCCGUUUCUACCGGGCAGAGAGAGCACUAAGUAGUGUCCGUUUGGGAGUGGCCUCUGUAGUAAAAGUCCAGCCCCCAGAAAACAAACCAUAUUUCAAUAGCAAAUCCAGUGUCGAUAUGGCUGAGUUGUAACUUUUGGGGAUACAAUUUUUAUAACGGCGUCUAAAGCCUUGAAAGAUGGGAUCGCAUAGAUGUGUUCGCGUAGGCUAAACCGUCCAAAAAAUCAGUGGAACUCGGUCAGAUAAACAUUGCGAUUUUUCACUAGAAACAGCUGCCUACUGCUGCACCUCCAAACAAACUACAUUGAUUCAACAUCGUAUAACGGUACACACUUCGUCCUGUUUCGUCUGAGAACAUGUGCCCAGAAGGAAAAGUUUGAAGGAGGUACCUGUGAUUUCCAGGAAGGUAAAGCAUCUAGGCUUUUCAUUGUAUCAUUUGGCGAUUCAUUGACAAAGUGAUCACAGUUCUAAAUGCUAUGUUGUAUGUGUGCGCGUGUGUGAGUGAUCAUGUCAUUAUCAUGUCACCUGCUUUGCUAUACCUACAUCUUUACUUUUCAGACU